CAGUCUUGAGCCACCUAUAGAACCGAGAGAGCUGGAGGGUUACCUCAGGGAGAGAGACAGUCUCGAGUGUGACCUCUAUCCCGAGACACCCACGACACCUCCAACCAGAGGUUCUUACGGGGGGGUAGGUUGGAAAGGUCGUCCACAGCAAGAAGGAAACCUAAAGGACGAAGACCUACUAGACGACGGACCUAGGGCUCAAACAUGCGGUUCGACGAAGGGGAACGGAAGUAGGCUCCUAGACGAUCAAAGCCCACGUCGACCACGAAGCUCUCCUCACUACAAGUCGUCAAGUC
rnacentral:rRNA from 1 species